rnacentral:rRNA from 1 species
UACGUAGGUGGCAAGCGUUGUCCGGAUUUACUGGGCGUAAAGGGCGUGCAGGCGGUCUGUUAAGUUCAGGGUGAAAGCUCCCGGCUCAACUGGGAGAGGUCCUUGGAUACUGGCAGACUUGAGGGAGGUAGAGGAGAGGUGGAAUUCCCGGUGUAGUGGUGAUAUGCGUAGAUAUCGGGAGGAACACCAGUGGCGAAGGCGGGUCGCUCG